rnacentral:lncRNA from 1 species
UUUCUCUAACAAAUGCUCUCCCUUCUCUCUAGAAAAUUCUGGUUCCUUCUUCUCCGAUGAAGUUCAUCGCCUCUCCGGCCAUACUCCUCCCUCACUUCUCUUGAUCUCUAGUCAACAUGGAACCUUCAUCUCGUUGUUUCUCUCUAAAUUUUGAAGCCCAGAAGCUUCCUCCAUGAAAGAUGGUCGCUGAAGCUUUGCCUGGGUCUGUUGUCG